rnacentral:rRNA from 1 species
AGUGAACGCUGGCGGCAGGCCUAAUACAUGCAAGUCGAACGGCAGCACAGCAGAGCUUGCUCUGUGGGUGGCGAGUGGCGGACGGGUGAGGAAUACAUGGGAAUCUGCCCAGUCGUGGGGGAUAACGUAUGGAAACGUACGCUAAUACCGCAUGCGCCCUACGGGGGAAAGUCGGGGACCGCAAGGCCUGACGCGAUUGGAUGAGCCCAUGUUCGAUUAGCUAGUUGGCGGGGUAAAGGCCCACCAAGGCGACGAUCGAUAGCUGGUCUGAGAGGAUGAUCAGCCACACUGGAACUGAGACACGGUCCAGACUCCUACGGGAGGCAGCAGUAGGGAAUAUUGGACAAUGGGGGCGAACCCUGAUCCAGCCAUGCCGCGUGAGUGAAGAAGGCCCUCGGGUUGUAAACCUCUUUCAGUAGGGACGAAGCGUAAGUGACGGUACCUAUAGAAGAAGCACCGG